CGGCAAACCCAGCCACGGGCCCGGAGUCAACGUCAUGCUGUCACACUUGGUUGCAGCCUACCAAAGAAGACAAGCUAUUAUUUUGCCAUCAUCGUUCUUUUCCGGAGGGAUUCAGCAAAAGCCUAGCUCGCAGGGCCUGCCAGGAAUGGACUGCUGUGGCUGCCCCGUCCCCUCCCCUAAGUCCCUCUGAGAAACCACCAGUCUCCUCUAUCAGAUCACAGCUUCGGGGACAAGACGUCACCAGAUGCUCCCAACGACCCGAACUGUAGGACUGUUACAGUUCCCUGGCCACCACGACUGGCUCAGCAGGAGGCAUCUGUUGGGACUUCUUACCCUCGGAACACAAACUGGAGCCACUGCAACUAAUUUGUACCAAAACAGUAAAGUCUAUCCAUAGAUGGAGGCAACACAGAGGAAAUUCGGCCAACUGACUGGGGGAGGGGGGAAGAUGCUGAGUCCAGCGCCAUCUUUGUAGUUAUGUGAGCCAAUAAAAUCUCUUCUCGCUAA